CAGGGCAUAGAUACUGGGAGGCGAGGAUCCUGGGGGAAGGAGGAGGAGCUGGGAGACUGGAUCACAGCAGCAGCCCGGAACUCCAGAGCCGGCCUUGUUUGCCAUGCUGACGACGCAGAAUAAACGAGACAUCAAACAUCCAGGGUUGGUUGCUGCCUCCGCCUUGGAGCAUUUGGUGACCUCCCUGGGGACGAUGCCCCUGCUCCCUCCGAAACGCCCACCCGUGGCUGGCCGAGCUCACAGAGCAGCGCGAGGAGAUCCGUUACAGAGCCCUCACGUCCACGUUCAUCAACCACCCGGGGCAGAAACGCUUUGUUCUGAACAACGAUGCUGCUUGCCUGCUGUGUCGUGUGGGGUCCCGCCUCCCACCCUCCUGUCCACAGUGUUUGCGCUGAGCCAUCCAGGCCCCGUAGGCCGUGGCUAGAAACAGGGCCACCCACCCCAGCCCAGGGCCGGACCUCCUCACCCGGGCUCCCUGUAGACGCCCAACAGCCAUAGGCAACCCAGUGGACACAGGUGAAGAGUCAGACGCAGGGCACCGCCGAAAAUGAUGUCACAACUGACGGUAAAUUGGAGAAGGGAGGACCAAGCCCCGCCUCGCACCCUAGUUCUCCGGCAGGUGAGGCAUCUCCUGCUUGGUUUCCACCUCCUUAGGGAUGCCGGUUGUACUGGGGAAAUAAACGUUCGAUUGAUUUUGUUGUCUCUAAACUGUUGGUAUCUUGGCUGAGUGAUCGCAGUUGUCAUGGCAGCGAGCACCGUUUCAUUAUCAUCUGUGGCCUUUUCCCCUCCCCCUAGGAAGCGUCUGGCAUGAUUCUGGUCCGCCACCCUAAUUCUGUCCCUUAUC